CUACGGGGGGCAGCAGUGGGGAAUCUUGCGCAAUGGGCGAAAGCCUGACGCAGCAAUGCCGCGUGAGGGAAGACGGCCUUAGGGUUGUAAACCUCUUUCAGCAGGGACGAAAACAGACGGUACCUGCAGAAGAAGCCCCGGCUAACUACGUGCCAGCAGCCGCGGUAAUACGUAGGGGGCAAGCGUUGUCCGGAAUCAUGGGGCGUAAAGAGCGUGUAGGUGGACUGGAAGGUCGGGUGUGAAAGCCCGGGGCUCAACCCCGGAGGGUCACUGGAAACCAACAGUCUUGAGUCCGGAAGAGGAGAGUGGAAUUCCUGGUGUAGCGGUGGAAUGCGCAGAUAUCAGGAGGAACACCAAUGGCGUAGGCAGCUCUCUGGUACGUGACUGACACUGAGACGCGAAAGCGUGGGGAGCGAACAGGAUUAGAUACCCCCGUAGUC
rnacentral:rRNA from 1 species